rnacentral:rRNA from 1 species
GAUGAACGCUAGCGGCAGGCUUAAUACAUGCAAGUCGUGGGGCAGCAGGUCCCGCAGCAAUGCGGGAUGCUGGCGACCGGCAAACGGGUGCGGAACACGUACACAACCUUCCUUUAAGUGGGGCAUAGCCUAAGGAAACUUGGAUUAAUACCCCGUAACAUAUUGAAAAGGCAUCUUUUUAAUAUUAUAGCAGCAAUGCGCUUGAAGACGGGUGUGCGUCUGAUUAGGAGUUGGUGGGGUAACGGCCCACCAAGCCUUGAUCACUAACUGGUGUGAGAGCACGACCAGUCACACGGGCACUGAGACACGGGCCCGACUCCUACGGGAGGCAGCAGUAAGGAUAUUGGUCAAUGGACGCAAGUCUGAA